UGACUCCAGAGAGGACGAACUCUUGGACCUUGGUUUACAAGACCAGUGCUCUGCCACUGAGCUAUAGAGGC
rnacentral:tRNA from 1 species